CAAUUCUUUAACAAGCUGUGGUUAGGUUAGGUGUUAUGGAAAUAGCAAAAAUGGAAAUAAGAUAAAUUGUCAUAAGACUGAUCCAGAAAGUGAGUGCAAGCUCAGUGGUGAAUUUUCAGCACUUCCCAAGACAGAGAAGGGCUCAAUGUCAUUAAAAUUGUUGAAAAUACUACAAAUAACAAGCGUAGCAGCACUUUCCAAAGACUGAUGAGAUUGCCUGGCAGCUUAUACAGAUCAGAGUGAAACUCUGGCCCCAUGAAGUCAGUGUUAACAUCCUGCUAACUUCAAGAAGUUAUGGGAAGCAGCCCAUCCCCAACAGAAGCUAGAAGAAAACAAAACAAAUAAAAAAAAAUAAAACAACAUGCACAGAAGGAGGAGAGGUGAAGAGAAGAUACUGGGGAGAAAAAAUACCUAGGUGAUCACAAGUGGCAAAAAUUAUAAACAGAGAUAUAGAGGAGAGACCGUGUGUUGACAAGAGCAAAACAUAACAGGGGGCACUUGGCAGGGCAGCCCAGCUGCCCUCAUUUUUCCCUUGAGGCACUCAAGAAGCUGCCAGAUGGUGACCAGGGGUAUCCUGUAAGGAGAUGUGGCAGGGCCAAGCAUUGCGAACAGGUCCUACCAUCCCUGACUGCCAAAUUGUCCAAGUACACAGCGUUAGCUCAGUGUGUGAUGGCCCACUGCUGCUCCUGCCUUUUUCUGGUGAGGAGAGCUCUCAGCACACUGUGUCUGGGUGGAAUGGGUCAGUGAGGCAGCAGAGUGAGGGCAAGGACUCAUAAAAAUAUCAUCAAGGUGUGCAAAGCAGUCUCCCUGGACAACAUGUUUUCUUGCAGAGCAGCAUGUGAGAGGGCAUCUGGCAAGGCUCAUGAACUGGCAUAAACUGGCAAGCCAGCAGUAGAUGUCUUUGGAAGGCCUGAGGCUGCCAGCAGCAUAGACUGCUAAAGUACAGGACUCAUAGCUGUAAUCUGUUGCUAAAGAGCUGUAGUCCUGCCUCUAAAGCAGUUUUGCAUCACUCUGUAGCAGGGAAUAGUUUGCCCCUCUGUUUCUAGUGCCUUUCGUAGCAUCACUGGUAUCCCAGGAGAGCAGAUUAGAUCAGUCUGUUUCCAAAAUUCUCUGUUUCUGAUCCACAGAGGAUCUAAGGAAAAGCAAAAUUAA